GAAAUAUAGGCUAAUCUUUUAAACCGUGGGCCUUCAAAGCCCAAACUGUGAACUACUCACUAUUCUGACUAAGACU
rnacentral:tRNA from 1 species